UUUAACUGAGCGUUCAGUUACUUGACGUAGACCCGAAACCGGGCGACCUACCCAUGAGCAGGAUGAAGCGAAAGUAAAAUUUCGUGGAGGUCCGAACCCACGAGCGUUGAAAAGCUCGGGGAUGACUUGUGGGUAGCGGUGAAAUUCCAAUCGAGCCCGGAGAUAGCUGGUUCUCCCCGAAAUAGCUUUAGGGCUAGCCUCAAGGUGAGAGAUACGGAGGUAGAGCACUGAAUGUCCUAGGGGGUAUUGCACCUACCGAAGACUAUCAAACUCCGAAUGCCGUCAUCUUAUACUUGGGAGUCAGACUGUGGGUGAUAAGAUUCAUAGUCGAAAGGGCAACAGCCCAGAUCGUCAGCUAAGGUCCCUAAAUGUAAGUUAAGUGGUAAAGGAUGUGGGAUUGCACAGACAACCAGGAUGUUGGCUUAGAAGCAGCCACUCAUUCAAAGAGUGCGUAAUAGCUCACUGGUCGAGUGAUCCUGCGCCGAAGAUUUCCGGGGCUAAAACUUACUACCGAAGCUACGGCAUCAGUAAUGAUGGGUAGGGGAGCUUCCCAUACGGGUUGAAGCAUGACCGUAAGGACAUGUGGACAGUAUGGGAGUGAGAAUGUUGGCAUGAGUAGCGAGAUGUGGGUGAGAAUCCCACAGGCCGUAAACCCAAGGUUUCCAGGGGAAGGUUCGUCCGCCCUGGGUUAGUCGGGACCUAAGCUGAGGCCGAAAGGCGUAGGUGAUGGACAACAGGUUGAUAUUCCUGUACUACCGAUAACCGUUUGAGAGAAGGGAUGACACAGUAGGAUAAGCUAAGCACACUGUUGGUUAUGUGUGCCCAAGCAUUGAGGCAGUCAAAGU
rnacentral:rRNA from 1 species